GAAAUAUAAAGUUUAAAUAAUUGCUUCUAACUAUUUAUUUUAAUGGUUAAAUUCCAUUAAUAUUUCU
rnacentral:tRNA from 1 species